GCGGACGGGUGNGUAAUGUCUGGGAAACUGCCUGAUGAGGGGGAUAACUACUGGAAACGGUAGCUAAUACCGCAUAACGUCGCAAGACCAAAGAGGGGGACCUUCGGGCCUCUUGCCAUCGGAUGUGCCCAGAUGGGAUUAGCUAGUAGGUGGGGUAACGGCUCACCUAGGCGACGAUCCCUAGCUGGUCUGAGAGGAUGACCAGCCACACUGGAACUGAGACACGGUCCAGACUCCUACGGGAGGCAGCAUG
rnacentral:rRNA from 1 species